rnacentral:rRNA from 1 species
UUGUACAGCGAAGUGGUUGAUGCCAUGCUUCCAGGAAAAGCCUCUAAGCUUCAGGUAACUAGGAACCGUACCCCAAACCGACACAGGUGGUUGGGUAGAGAAUACCAAGGCGCUUGAGAGAACUCGGGUGAAGGAACUAGGCAAAAUGGCACCGUAACUUCGGGAGAAGGUGCGCCGGUGAGGGUGAAGGGUUUACCCCGUAAGCUCAUGCCGGUCGAAGAUACCAGGCCGCUGCGACUGUUUAUUAAAAACACAGCACUCUGCAAACACGAAAGUGGACGUAUAGGGUGUGACGCCUGCCCGGUGCCGGAAGGUUAAUUGAUGGGGUUAGCGCAAGCGAAGCUCUUGAUCGAAGCCCCGGUAAACGGCGGCCGUAACAAUAACGGUCCUAAGGUAGCGAAAUUCCUUGUCGGG